AGAGCGAACGCUGGCGGCAGGCUUAACACAUGCAAGUCGAGCGGGCGUAGCAAUAUGUCAGCGGCAGACGGGUGAGUAACGCGUGGGAACGUACCUUUUGGUUCGGAACAACACAGGGAAACUUGUGCUAAUACCGGAUAAGCCCUUACGGGGAAAGAUUUAUCGCCGAAAGAUCGGCCCGCGUCUGAUUAGCUAGUUGGUGAGGUAACGGCUCACCAAGGCGACGAUCAGUAGCUGGUCUGAGAGGAUGAUCAGCCACAUUGGGACUGAGACACGGCCCAAACUCCUACGGGAGGCAGCAGUGGGGAAUAUUGGACAAUGGGCGCAAGCCUGAUCCAAGCCAUGCCGCGUGAGUGAUGAAGGCCCUAGGGUUGUAAAGCUCUUUUGUGCGGGAAGAUAAUGACGGUACCGCAAGAAUAAGCCCCGGCUAACUUCGUGCCAGCAGCGGC
rnacentral:rRNA from 1 species